GCGCCUCCCGCCGAUCGCUCCUCUGCUCCACGCUGUCAACGUCGUUCUACGUUCGGUUCCUGCGUCCGCUGGUCUGCUUGCUUCUUUGCUCUUCUCCGCCGCUUCCUCUGCUCCAGUCUUACCGUCGGGUGCUGCUCCUCGCCGCGCCCUCAGUCACUGCACGAUAAUCUUUUGAAGGAAGAGGUAUUUUAUUUUAUCAUAUAAUUAAGCUAGUAAUUACUUAGUGAAUCUCCACCAUCUUCGGCUUGUCCUAAGCUUAAAGGAUGGCAGAAGAAGAGGGAUGAUUCGACAGCACUUGAGCNNN
rnacentral:lncRNA from 1 species